GACGAACCGUGCAAACGUUGUUCGGAAUCACUGGGCUUAAAGGGCGCGUAGGCGGGCCAGCCAGUCUGAUGGUGAAAGCCUCCAGCUUAACUGGAGAAGUGCCGAUGGAUACUGCUGGCCUCGAGGAGGAUAGGGGCAUCUGGAACGGUCGGUGGAGAGGUGAAAUUCGUAGAUAUUCGCAAGAACACCAGGUGGCGAAGGCGGCUCACUGGCCCGGUACUGACGCUGGAGGUGACGAAAGCGUGGGGAGCAAACAGG
rnacentral:rRNA from 1 species